rnacentral:rRNA from 1 species
UACAGAGGGUGCGAGCGUUAAUCGGAAUUACUGGGCGUAAAGCGCGCGUAGGCGGCUUUUCAAGUCGAUUGUGAAAUCCCCGGGCUUAACCUGGGAACUGCAGUCGAGACUGUCUAGCUAGAGUAUGGGAGAGGGAAGUGGAAUUUCAGGUGUAGCGGUGAAAUGCGUAGAUAUCUGAAGGAACAUCAGUAGCGAAAGCGACUUCCUGGACCAAUACUGACGCUCAUGUGCGAAAGCGUGGGGAGCAAACAGG